rnacentral:rRNA from 1 species
AGAAUCAACGCUGGCGGCGUGCCUAACACAUGCAAGUCGAACGAGAAAGUGGAGCAAUCCAUGAGUAAAGUGGCGCACGGGUGAGUAACACGUGACUAACCUACCCUUGAGUGGGGAAUAACUUCGGGAAACCGAGGCUAAUACCGCAUAACACCUACGGGUCAAAGGAGCAAUUCGCUUAAGGAGGGGGUCGCGGCAGAUUAGUUAGUUGGCGGGGUAAUGGCCCACCAAGACAGUGAUCUGUAUCCGGCCUGAGAGGGCGCACGGACACACUGGAACUGAAACACGGUCCAGACUCCUACGGGAGGCAGCAGUGGGGAAUUUUGCGCAAUGGGGGAAACCCUGACGCAGCAACGCCGCGUGGAGGAUGAAGUCUCUUGGGACGUAAACUCCUUUCGAUCGGGACGAUAAUGACGGUACCGAGAGAAGAAGCCCCGGCUAACUUCGCGCCAGCAGCCGC